rnacentral:rRNA from 1 species
CCCUUAGAUGUUCUGGGCCGCACGCGCGCUACACUGACGAUGUCAACGAGUCUCUCCUUGGCCGAAAGGUCUGGGUAAUCUUCUGAAACAUCGUCGUGCUGGGGAUAGAUCAUUGCAAUUUUUGAUCUUGAACGAGGAAUUCCUAGUAAGCGCGAGUCAUCAGCUCGCGUUGAUUACGUCCCUGCCCUUUGUACACACCGCCCGUCGCUACUACCGAGUGAAUGGUUUAGUGAGGACUCCUGAUUGGCGCCGCCGCCCCGGCAACGGAGCAGUGGACUGCCGAAAAGUUGUUCAAACUUGAUCAUUUAGAGGAAGUAAAAGUCGUAACA